rnacentral:rRNA from 1 species
UGGGAUUAGAUACCCCACUAUAGUUUCAAGAAAUUAAGAGUACUACGGUCUUAAGACUAAAACCCAAAGAACUUGGCGGCAUUCCACCCCUAACCAGAGGAGUUUGUAUCAUAAACGAUAAUCCGCGAGACAACUCACCCUCUUUAGCUAAUCAGCUUGUAUACCAUCGUCGUCAGUUAACCUUAUAAGAGAGUUAACAAAAAGUUUUAAUAAUAUAAACACUACUUCAGAUCAAGGUGCAGCUUAUAAGAAGGAGAAUAUGAACUACAAAGGUCUUAACAAAAGCAGAAAGGGAUUGUAAUAUAACCCAAUUAAGGAGAAUUUGGUAGUAAUAACUUAAAGAAUAUAGUUAUGAAUUCAGCAACUGGAAUGUGCACACACCGCCCGUCACCCUCCUCAA